rnacentral:rRNA from 1 species
UAGAGUUUGAUUCUGGCUCAGAUUGAACGCUGGCGGCAUGCCUUACACAUGCAAGUCGAACGGCAGCAUGAUCUAGCUUGCUAGAUUGAUGGCGAGUGGCGAACGGGUGAGUAAUACAUCGGAACGUGCCCUGUAGUGGGGGAUAACUAGUCGAAAGAUUAGCUAAUACCGCAUACGACCUGAGGGUGAAAGUGGGGGACCGCAAGGCCUCAUGCUAUAGGAGCGGCCGAUGUCUGAUUAGCUAGUUGGUGGGGUAAAGGCCCACCAAGGCGACGAUCAGUAGCUGGUCUGAGAGGACGAUCAGCCACACUGGGACUGAGACACGGCCCAGACUCCUACGGGAGGCAGCAGUGGGGAAUUUUGGACAAUGGGCGAAAGCCUGAUCCAGCAAUGCCGCGUGUGUGAAGAAGGCCUUCGGGUUGUAAAGCACUUUUGUCCGGAAAGAAAUGGCUCUGGUUAAUACCUGGGGUCGAUGACGGUACCGGAAGAAUAAGGACCGGCUAACUACGUGCCAGCAGCCGCGGUAAU